rnacentral:rRNA from 1 species
AUGAACGCUGGCGGCGUGCCUAAUACAUGCAAGUCGAGCGAACAGACGAAGAGCUUGCUCCUCUGACGUUAGCGGCGGACGGGUGAGUAACACGUGGAUAACCUACCUAUAAGACUGGGAUAACUUCGGGAAACCGGAGCUAAUACCGGAUAAUAUAUUGAACCGCAUGGUUCAAUAGUGAAAGACGGUUUUGCUGUCACUUAUAGAUGGAUCCGCGCCGCAUUAGCUAGUUGGUAAGGUAACGGCUUACCAAGGCAACGAUGCGUAGCCGACCUGAGAGGGUGAUCGGCCACACUGGAACUGAGACACGGUCCAGACUCCUACGGGAGGCAGCAGUAGGGAAUCUUCCGCAAUGGGCGAAAGCCUGACGGAGCAACGCCGCGUGAGUGAUGAAGGUCUUCGGAUCGUAAAACUCUGUUAUUAGGGAAGAACAAAUGUGUAAGUAACUAUGCACGUCUUGACGGUACCUAAUCAGAAAGCCACGGCUAACUACGUG